AGCUUCGGGUUCGGUCGAUACAAAUUCGUAGACACUAUUAUUAUUCCUGUUCCUAUUACUAUUAAUCAAAUUCACAAUAGAGCUCGACGGCCACCUUAAAUUGAAAAAUGCGAUUUAUAUAUAGACAGUUAAAAUGGAGUAUUUGUAUUUACAUAUAUUUGUCUAUGUGUUUUUGAACCAUUCUUCUAAAUGUGAUGAAACUUGGUAAAAUGGUUUUUGAUGAGUGUCCGCGAUAGGUUUCUGUCACAUUACUUACUUACUAUCAACUCAGAAUAGAUGUCACGCGUAUAACUUCAAGAAAUCAAUGUUAUUCAUAUAAUUAGCUACAGUCAUAACAUAUCGUAUCCGGGUUUCAGCAGUCUAAUGUCUAGUCUAAUCUAAAGUGAAUAUUUCAAAGCAGAGUAGCUUCAUAUUAAAACGGAUCAAAACUUAGCGUUUUUUCUUAGGGGACAAAUUGGUUUUUUGGUUCAAGAGAAAAUUGCCGGACUUGCGCUUUCGCUUUGACGCCGGUAUGCGAGGCAUGCUGCAGUUGGACCGAGUAAAUCACCCUAUAGCUCAAAAACCCCCAUCCGAGUAUCGGAUGAGACAAAACUCAUACAUAGAGGGCAUGGGGCAAAGUGAACGGCAACUUUUUUAUAUAGUUUAUAGACUACCGUUCUCACUACCCAUUUAAUGUAAUCUGUUUAACGGGUAGGACGGUAAUCCCAUUAACAUCUUUGGUCUUGGCCUUUAACAUCUUCGGCCACCGAGUCCCACACAUCCCGAGCGCCCCCUAAGCUUCGGAACUUCGUAGGAGGUACGGACCCCCGGCCCGCAAAAAUACGACAGUAAUAAUACCAAUCCGUGCAGACUAAGAAUCUGACAACCUAAGAAUUACGCGGAAAGAUGCAUAGGGAAAAAUUCACAUGAGGUCGAAAUUUCAAUUUUAUUUAUUUAUUGUCAUUGCAGGUCGACAAGUGGGCUAUAUGGCUAUAGGGCCACCUUAUAAUGAGUGGUCACCAUUGCUCAUGAACAUAAAAGCGGUCUUAUGGGUUACCCUAAUCUCCAGGCCGGACCAUAUUGCUUCGGGGCCAAAAUACACAGCCUUUAUAUUUCUACAUGCACGUUCUAUAUCUAUCAGUAUCGAAUUCGAAAUUCUAUUAAAACAUUACUGACUAAAAUAAUAUUAAAUGUCUAUAGUGUAACAUAUUUAAUCUUAUCAUAAAGAAAUUUAAAUAUUUUAUAAUACAAUUAUCUGUACACGGAUACAACUAAACAUUGAGCUGCAUUGACAUGAUUUUUUACGAAUAAUCGUAUUUUAAGGUAGAAUUCUAAAGUGAAAUUUACUACUAUAUUACAUUUAUUCAUUAUAUUCAAUUCUUCAACACAAAAAUUGAAAAAUACAUUUGUUGGCGCUAAUUUUAUCUACAUUAGAUAUUUUUGAACGACAAUUAAAAUAUUAUAACAAAAUACACCUAAAGAAGUUGAAAAGAUAUACUUAACGCUGCCUGAAAUAUAGUUUAAGCAAAAAUUAAAUGCUGCCUAUUUUAUAAGAUUUAUAGGCAUAAUAAAUGAAAUCAGCUGUAAAUGCGCCUUUUAUCUAUCGUCAUAAGGAAAAAUAAUCACGAUUAAAAAAAUAUUAAAUAGAUUACCUAUUAUUGAAAGAGAAAUGUUUGUUGAAUUCACAAAUAUUUACUUACAUCCUCGAAAGUUUCGAUCUAUUUUUGUUUCUAUUAUCAUUCUGUCGUUCUUCAAUGCCAGAUCGAUUAUCAUUAUUCGUAGCAUUCUGUUGAUUUUCCAUUUUACUUUGCUUUGCUAUAACAUCACUUCACAAUAGCAAAUUUCUACAUAGUUAUUAUCUAGCACAGAUGCUUUCCGCAAUCGUUAAAAUACUGAACUAAAACUUGCGUAGUAUCAUAAAUAAUUGAAGUUAUCGUUUCAUAUUGACAUUGAAAUAUAAAGAACGCUUCGAUGAUAAUAAAGUAUAUGAAGUUUAAUUAUCAUAAUUAGCCGAUAUAAAAUUAAAUACGCAACGGAACCCUUAUCUUAUAUGACCUGAAUCAAUAGAUGUAUGUAUGUAUUUGUGGAAUGUUUCUAAUAGAUAUUAAACUUGUAAACACGUGAAGGAUAUGUACCCGACUAGCAUUUUUUUACUUAUUUAAUGUAAUCAGUUGUUGUUUUACUGUUCAAGCAUUGAAAGUGUAAAACGCCUGUAAUCAUAGCGUGGCAUUGUUUCGAAAAACCAGCAAAGCAGUUUGCAUCUAAAUCUGAAUAUUUAGAAUAUAAAUACUUUGAGGUUUUAA